AUUGAACGCUGGCGGCAUGCUUUACACAUGCAAGUCGAACGGCAGCGCGGGGCAACCUGGCGGCGAGUGGCGAACGGGUGCGUAAUAUAUCGGAACGUACCCAGAAGUGGGGGAUAACGUAGCGAAAGUUACGCUAAUACCGCAUACGAUCUACGGAUGAAAGUAGGGGACCGCAAGGCCUUAUGCUUUUGGAGCGGCCGAUAUCUGAUUAGCUAGUUGGCGAGGUAAAGGCUCACCAAGGAGACGAUCAGUAGCUGGUCUGAGAGGACGACCAGCCACACUGGAACUGAGACACGGUCCAGACUCCUACGGGGGGCAGCAGUGGGGAAUUUUGGACAAUGGGCGCAAGCCUGAUCCAGCAAUGCCGCGUGAGUGAAGAAGGCCUUCGGGUUGUAAAGCUCUUUUGUCAGGGAAGAAACGGUAGAGGCUAAUAUCCUUUGCUAAUGACGGUACCUGAAGAAUAAGCACCGGCUAACUACGUG
rnacentral:rRNA from 1 species